rnacentral:rRNA from 1 species
UGGGGAAUAUUGCACAAUGGGCGAAAGCCUGAUGCAGCAACGCCGCGUGAGUGAUGAAGGCCUUCGGGUUGUAAAGCUCUGUCUUUUGGGACGAUAAUGACGGUACCAAAGGAGGAAGCCACGGCUAACUACGUGCCAGCAGCCGCGGUAAUACGUAGGUGGCAAGCGUUGUCCGGAUUUACUGGGCGUAAAGGAUGCGUAGGCGGAUUUUUAAGUGAGAUGUGAAAACCCUAAGCUUAACUUGGGGACUGCAUUUCAUACUGGAAAUCUAGAGUGCGGGAGAGGAGAAUGGAAUUCCUAGUGUAGCGGUGAAAUGCGUAGAGAUUAGGAAGAACACCAGUGGCGAAGGCGAUUCUCUGGACCGUAACUGACGCUGAGGCAUGAAAGCGUGGGUAGCAAACAGGAUUAGAUACCCUGGUAGUCCACGCCGUAAACGAUGAGUACUAGGUGUAGGAGGUAUCGACCCCUUCUGUGCCGCAGUUAACACAAUAAGUACUCCGCCUGGGAAGUACGAUCGCAAGAUUAAAAACUCAAAGGAAUUGACGGGGGUCAUAGCUGUUUU